rnacentral:ncRNA from 1 species
CAAUGCCAAAUCCCCACCCCAUGGGGGGGAGUGGGCCAUGUGGCGUACAGAAGCUCCCCUCCCCGGCGGUGCUCUCGGGGGACCCAAGUCCUUGUGAUCAAGGCCGCAGCCCGCAGACUGUGUGAGGUCGGUAGCAGUCCCCCAGAGUGCCGGGCCCAGGGCUUCUCAGAGUCGGGUUGCUUAGGAAUGUAGCCCAAAGCGGGGGGUAAACUCCAUCUAAGGCUAAAUA